rnacentral:rRNA from 1 species
UACGUAGGGGGCAAGCGUUGUCCGGAAUCAUUGGGCGUAAAGAGCGUGUAGGCGGCUCGGUAAGUCUGCUGUGAAAGUCCAGGGCUCAACCCUGGAAUGCCAGUGGAAACUGCCAAGCUAGAGUCCGGAAGAGGCGAGUGGAACUCCUGGUGUAGCGGUGAAAUGCGCAGAUAUCAGGAAGAACACCAAUGGCGAAGGCAGCUCGCUGGGACGCGACUGACGCUGAGACGCGAAAGCGUGGGGAGCAAACAGG